ensembl:lncRNA
GAAAACUGUAGGCCACCUGAAAAUAAGUUUAAACAAGGUAAUAUGAAAUGAACCUAUAGUUUAUGGAGAAAGAAUGCAUUUAUAUUUGGCCAAGUUCACGACUCCUAACGUCUACUAAAAUUUCCUGCAAACAGAAGUCUAAUGAGGGUCUUGUCGACCAACUUGUCGAUACAGUCAAACGGAUAACGACGUGUUACAGUAUCAGCUGGUUGACAGUAUCUUUUUUCUGUACUUAAACACUUGGAAAAUAACUCGGUUAACUAGUAAAACAUGCAAAUAUGUAACAGGAAUAACUUUCACUGUUUGAAGAAAUUACCUGACACGGUUAGGCCUGCCUCAUUCUCGCUGUCCCUGUUCCUGAACACUACAGUAACCGGGCAUCUGAGAGGUCCUCGAUCCUGUCGCCAAGGUAACUACUGACGUUGCUGAAACAUGUGCUGCUCUCAUUACUAACAGGUGUGUAUCACAAUGUUGUGCUCGACCUCUCCAGAAUAUUUAGCAAUGUUUCCGUGGAUUUUCGCCAGUGUAUCGUUCUACAAACACAUUAAGAUAAAGGAAUGAUAUAAUGGGCAAAGGAGUUCUUUGUUACUUCUCAACAUCAAUUACAGUAAUGAGGUCCCAUCCAAGGAUGAUGAUAAAGACUGAGGAUCCGCCCCUUCGAGAGCAUGUCAUCAAGGUCACUUGACCAGAGGAGGAAGUGAUCCGUCCACUGCCAUCAUCACCCUGGUUUGCAAGUCAUCAGAAUGAGUUGUGCCCAGAGGGUGUCAUCCCAGUGGAACAGAGGAAUACACUUCAGUGAUGAGACACAGUCAUGCCAUGGCUGGCAUCUUCACAGUCACAUGAUGAUGUUUACACAAUAACAAUGGGCUUCUUGUGUUUUCUGAGGUGAACAUAUGGAUAUGGAUCAAAUGGUUUUAACAAAAUCUAAUUGGGUACAACACAAAGAUUGUCUGUCUUGCAAGUGUCCCCCCUUUUUAACAUGAAUGUCCAGUCAUUCAUUAAAGAUGAUAAUAAUGGGUGAAAUAUAUUUGUUCCUGAAUUUAAAUAAUGUACAAAAGCAGAAAUGGGAUUGAUGGUACCUCCACAGCCUUUACCUCUGUUACCAAAAAUAAACAAAAUGUUUUUUUCUUGCUGAUUUAACACACAUUGAGCCAUUCAGUUUCUUGUACCUGUAAUGGUUAACAGUUACAAAUGUUUUCAAUAUUCAGACUGGUCUCAAGAAUGUGAUCAUUCUGAUUAUUUCAGGGUUCUUUUAUCCAGGCCAGGUCCACACAGGAUGAACACAUCUUUUACUGUACUUUCGUUAUUGUACUGUACUUGAUCACUGAACGAUGUUCAAUCUUGUAAAAGAUACUUGUGGUAAGCCUCAUUCUUAUUGUAUAAAAUAAUAAAAGGGUGAAAUCUUAAUGCAGUAUAGAGUUUUUGUAUUUGGUAUUUGUUAAUGCUUUCAUGCAACAAUAACACAUAACAGUUGAAAUAUACUGUACCUAACAAGCAAAAGUUGAUGUUAUUUUAAUUAAUUAUAACUCAUAUGACCCCCCAUAUAAUGUAAG